ensembl:lncRNA
AUGAGAGGGACAGAGGGACAUCAUGGGGACAGCAGGGACGCCAUAGGGACAGAGGGACAUUGUAGGGACAGAGGGACACCAUGGGGACAGAGGGGAGACCGUGGGGACAGAGGGACAUCAGAGGGACAGUGGGACACCAUAGGGACAGAGGGACAUCACAGGGACAGAGGGACAUCGUGGGGACAGAAGGACACCAUAGGGACAGUGGGGAGACCGUGGGGACAGAGGGACAUUGUAGGGACAGAGGGACACCAUGCGGACAGAGGGACACCAUGGGGACAGAGGGACAUCAGAGGGACAUCAGAGGGAGAGAGGGACACCAUAGGGACAGAGGGACAUGAGAGGGACAGCAGGACAUCAUGGGGACAGCAGAGAGACAGUGGGGACAGAGGGACAUCAGAGGGACAGAGGGACACCAUGCGGACAGAGGGGCAUCAUAGGGACAGUGGGGAGACCGUGGGGACAGAGGGACAUUGUAGGGACAGAGGGACACCAUGUGGACAGAGGGACAUCGUGGGGACAGAGGGACAUGAGAGGGACAGAGGGACAUCACGGGGACAGAGGGACAUCAGAGGGACAGAGGGACAUCACAGGGACAGAGGGACAUCAUGGGGACAGCAGGGACACCAUGCGGACAGAGGGACAUCAGAGGGACCAAGGGAUAGGGACAGUGGGGAGACCGUGGGGACAGAGGGACAUCAUAGGGACAGAGGGACAUGAGAGGGACAGCAGGGAGACCGUGGGGACAGAGGGACAUUGUAGGGACAGAGGGACACCAUGCAGACAGAGGGACAUCAUAGGGACAGUGGGGAGACCGUGGGGACAAAGGGACAUCGUAGGGACAGAGGGACAUCAUAGGGACAGAGGGACACCAUGGGGACAGUGGGGAGACCGUGGGGACAGAGGGACACCAUAGGGACAGAGGGACAUCAUAGGGACAGAGGGACAUCUUGGGGACAGCAGGGAGUCCUUGCGGCAGUAGAAAACCCCAGGGACACAGAGACCCCAUGGGGACACUGAGAGCCUUUGGGGACACACUGAGUCCCUUUUGAGGACGCAUAGGGACCGUUUGGGGACACGAAGACCCCUUGGGGACCAUCUGGGGACACGUGGGGAGUCUUUGGGGACACAGAGACCCUUUGGGGACACUUUGGGGACCCUUUGGGGUCACAGAGACCCUUUGGGGACCCUUUAGGGACAUGGAAACCCCUUCGGGACCCUUAGGGACACAGAGACCUUUGGGGUCACAUGGGGACCCUUAGGGACCCAGAGACCCCUUGGGGACCCUUUGGGGACACUGAGACACUUUGGAGACCCUUUGGGGACACAGAGACCCCUUGGGGACCCUUAGGGACACAGAGACCUUUGGGGACCCUUUGGGGACACUGAGAGCCUUUGGGGACCCUUUGGGGUCACAGAGACCCUUUGGGGAUCCUUUGGGGACCCUUUGGGGACACUGAGACCUUUUGGGGACCCUUUGGGGACAUGGAGACCCCUUGCGGAUCCUUAGGGACACAGAGACCUUUUAGGGACCCUUUGGGGACACGGAGACCCUUUGGGGACCCUUUGGGGUCACAGAAAUCCUUUGGGGACCCUUAGGGGCACAGAGACCCUUUGGGGACCCAUUGGGGACACGGAGACCCUUUGGGGACCCUUUGGUGANNNNNNNNNNNNNNNNNNNNNNNNNNNNNNNNNNNNNNNNNNNNNNNNACCUUUGGGG